rnacentral:lncRNA from 1 species
GGAGACAGAUACAAUUCCAUGCUUGUGAUUGAAUGAGGCAGAGGAAAGCCCAAAUGUGAUGUUAAACACACAGAGGAGACCCCACAUGGGUUACUCACACAGACGCUGCCAAAGGUCCUGCUGUUUCACACUGUGCAGAGUGAAUAAACUAUGGCAUAAAACUAUGGCAACCCCCUUGAGGUAUGU